AGUCUCGAUCCGGUUUGUCAGUGUAUAAGCUCUGCUUGGUGAAGAAUGUAGAUUCAACCGAUAAGGGCUGCCAAUACAAGUUAGAGGGUCGGACCACCAACAAGUAUCUUAAUCUAGUAUGGGGCGCAGAGUCGACAGCUGCCAGGUGGCCGAUGAAUGUUGUUUCAGAUUCGCCACCGGAGGAGGACGAGUUCAAGAGUUGGCUUCAGGCCGUAGAG
rnacentral:misc_RNA from 1 species